GCCGUCCAGAUAUGCCGCCUCUACGUGGCGGAUGGCAGGCAACGAGGAGGCUUCUCGGCUAAAACAUAU
rnacentral:ribozyme from 1 species